rnacentral:rRNA from 1 species
UCCCGCCGGAGGACACAGCUUUUUGGGGUUCGAUUAGGCCAUGCGAGUCGAGAGGGUUCGGCCCUCGGCGUACUGCUCAGUAACACGUGGAUAACCUGCCCUAGGGAAGGGGAUAAUCCCGGGAAACUGGGGAUAAUACCCUAUAGGUUACAGAUGCUGGAAUGCUCUGUAAUCAAAAGUUCCGGCGCCCUAGGAUGGAUCUGCGGCCGAUUAGGUUGUUGUUGGGGUAAUGGCCCAACAAGCCAGUAAUCGGUACGGGUUGUGGGAGCAAGAGCCCGGAGUUGGAUUCUGAGACACGAAUCCAGGCCCUACGGGGCGCAGCAGGCGCGAAAACUUUACAAUGCGGGCAACCGUGAUAAGGGAACCUCGAGUGCCUGUAAAUGCAGGCUGUUCAGAUGCCUAAUACACAUCUGGAGAAAGGGCCGGGCAAGACCGGUGCCAGCCGCCGCGGUAAUACCGGCGGCUCGAGUGGUGGCCACUUUUAUUGUGCUUAAAGCGUUCGUAGCUGGGUUGUUAAGUCUCUUGGGAAAU